rnacentral:rRNA from 1 species
GACGAACGCUGGCGGCGUGCUUAACACAUGCAAGUCGAACGAUGAAGAAGAGAAACGCGAACUUCGGUUCAAAUUUCACUUCGGAUUAGUGGCAGACGGGUGAGUAACGCGUGAGCAACCUACCUCUUACAAAGGGAUAGCCUCGGGAAACCGUGAUUAAUACCAUAUGACACAUUCAUAAGGCAUCUUAAGAAUGUUAAAGCUACGGCGGUAAGAGAUGGGCUCGCGUCCCAUUAGCUAGUUGGUGAGGUAGCGGCCCACCAAGGCGACGAUGGGUAACCGGCCUGAGAGGGUGAACGGUCACAUUGGAACUGAGACACGGUCCAAACUCCUACGGGAGGCAGCAGUGGGGAAUAUUGCACAAUGGAGGGAACUCUGAUGCAGCGACGCCGCGUGAGCGAUGAAGGAAUUCGUUUCGUAAAGCUCUGUUCUAUGGGAAGAAAAGGACUGUACCAUAGGAGAAAGCCCCGGCUAAAUACGUG